CGACGGCAGACCCGGAAGUUCGUCACAACUCUCUGCUAGGUGGCCCGAUGGGUCUCUGAGGAGCCGAGACGCCGGAGUCUUAGAGCCUCGCUAUAUGGUGAGUCCACACAGAGAGCUGAGCUUUCUCACAACAUGGCGGCUCCGGGGCAGUCAGACGACAUACAAGGGGGCCGAAGAUGUCCGGAACAGGUAUUCUGACUAACAAGCUGGCAGCUGCAUGGCCCUCUACAACCCGGUCUCAGAAGUCAGGCGGCCCUUCUGUUGGCUACCAGCGAGUCACAGGCGCAAGGUUCUAGAAGAGCGCGUGGAGUGAGAGACGUUGUCGUGACCGUCUGAGGAGCCUAAAAUCUGCUACAGAUGCACCUGGCCUUUUCUAAGAGUAACCAGUUGGUUGUCUGCAAAGGUGUGACUGAAGAGUUUAGGACAGAGCAAAAGCCAGAGUUUCGGAGGAAGUCUGGUCGGGAGGAGGCCUGGGCCGUGAUCGUGGUUUAUCAAGGGAAAUCUGCUCAGAGGAGUGAAUGAACUUGUGGGGAGGGGAGAGUCACAGAGCCAGAGGCCUGGUGUUGUCCAGGGCGCGGGCUCUUGGCCGCACUGGCCGGAGCAGCAGCCACCGCCCCCCGCCAUGUCCCUGGGCAAGGCCGUCCCCUCAAGCCGCCUCUGCUGAGAAAUGCUUCUUCUGAAUAAUACCGUUAUUUGUUCCCACUCCCUCCCACCAAGCAGCCCCGCAAGACCAUGGACCCGUACGCAGCUUUCGCUGCCGGGAAGCAUAGGCUGGUCAGGCUAACAUUUCUUGUGCUCUCCGUUAGUAGAUGGAUCGUCUGGUGAUGUGUCAGCCUCACAAGAUUGGCUAAGGGGAGUCUGGCCCUGCCUGGCGCGCGGGCGUAUCCCAGACUGUUCUGACGGAUUCACCAAGGUCGGCUGGUGGGGAUCUGUCCGUGUGGCCGGCGCUUUUUCCGGCGCGCAUCCACCUGCACCUCCUCGUGUGCCUUCUGUGAACCACCACGGGGGUUAUCACCCCACUUUCUAGAUGAGAAGGCCGAGGUGCAGUGAGGAGGCACGUUUUGCCCGCGGUCAGGCCGCCGGUAAAGGUGCAGUUGGGACAGCGGUCCAGGUGCGCGGGCAAACCGCAAACCCUCUUCACGAAGGUCGGGGCACGCACCUGAUGGCAAACCUGUCGGACGGUGUGCUGGGAGGAAGGGAAGCCUUGAGUCACCAGCUCACGCCAGCCUCCUAAGAGCCCUGUGGCCCCAACAAAUUCGUAAAAAUAGAAAACCUGGAGGGAUUAAAGCCCCAAAGGACGCUUCAAGUCCCCCGCGGGAAAGGGAGGCUUGCCGUAUGUUCUGAUGGUCUGCAUUCAAAUUUAUUUUUUUUUUUAUCUCAGCUGGAUGUACACUCACCCAUCACAGGAUCAGCUCUCAGAAUAGAGAGGUACCUGUUGAAUCAUCCACCCCACUUCCUGCCUCAUGCGGGCAUCUCUCCAAGUGCUGAGCCAUCCGCUUCUCUGCUGGGGCCUGAGAUAUAUCAGGAUUUGCAGCCCUGGUGACAGGAGACAAAAUAGACUCCCAUUUCCUUUGGAACCAUUUAGCUAGUUGAGAGAGUGCUUGAUUGUUUCAAUGGGAUGAGCAAUGAGCGAUAACCAGGUCUCUCCUUGGCUCCUUCUCUCUGCCCUGUGCUUGCUCUUCUUCCGGAAGCUGGGAGGUGGUGGGGACAAAGGCACACACUGGUUUUGGCUCAGUCUGGCUCUUGAGCUACUAGGCGCCCCUCCCGGGACCUCAGGCCCACUUUCUGCAACACGGACGUCGUUCUCUUUCCUUCUGCCCGCCCUGGCUCCCGCUGGCCUUAGGACUAGAAACUGUGCCUGGUGGGUGCCUGCAGAGACUUGUUGGGGCUAAGUGACUGCAGGUGAUAUUUAAGGAGGUCUCAUGGGAGAUACGGCUUCGAGGCAAUGAAAAACAGACAUCCGUGGGGACAGACUGUCUGAAUUUGAAUCCAGGUCACCACUAGCUUCAUGGCCUUGGGCAAGUCAGGCAACUGAGUCUCAGCUUCCUCGUCUGUUAAAUGGGUGGAAUCAGAGGAAGUAGGUAGUGAGAAUUAAGUCAGAUAAUAUGUACAGUGCUUGAGAGAGUGCCUGGUGUGCAGUAAGCCCUUAAUCCAGGCCAGCUGAAUUAGCAUGGUCACCAGAAGCCUGUGGGGCUUUGACUGGAGCGAUCGAUGGCCACUUGUGGGGACCCAGGCCCUGAGUUGGCCACUCAGAGUUCAGAGAGAGAACCAGUCAUGAGCUCAAGUAGCUCAAAGUCUAGUGGGAAAGCAGAUGUGGCUGAUGCAGGGGUGCUUAACGAAAUAUGUUUUGAGUAGACUUUUAGAAAGCAGAUUUCACAUGGAAAUCCAGAUUUGUGGCUUCUCUUAUGAUCUAGCAACACUGGGUUGGCUUUCCUGCACGGUGAUAAGAAGCCGGAGCAGAAUAAGUGUUGUAGCCUAGGCCAGGGUUUCUCUACUUUGCCCCAGUCCCCACUCUUCCCUCCUGCAUCCUGUCCGCCCGUAUUCGUGUUCAAGUGUGCUUGCUGCCUGGCCCUUUGGGAAUUUGCAGACAGAUUACAAUGCAAUGCUGUGAAUGCACCGGGAGCACGAUGAGGGAUAAUAACUCAUCCGUGGGCAGUCGGGAAGAGCUUCCCAAAGGAGCCGAAGUCCCAGUUGCCUCUCUGUAAUACCCGCCAAUGCUGCAGAACAUCCUUGUCUUUAUGGCUCAAGGAUGUGAAUAGAGGACACAAAGUCCUCCGAGCUGGCGGGAUCUCUGCCAUAAAGCAACCAAGGCUCAGUGGCUUGUGUGGUCAUACAGCCACCUCGUGGCACAUCCAGGCUGUCAAUCAGAAGCAGCCGUAGGCCUCGGGAGUCUGCAGUUUGUACUCUGGGAUCUUGAUUCCCUCUCUGCCACCCUCCUGCGGCGUGGCCAUGGGUAACUCAUUUCAUCUUCAACCUCGGUUUCUUCAUCUGUAGGGUAGGGCUGGGGAUUCUGACCUCAAGGGAGUGCUCUGGGGCCAGAUAGUGAGAAAAUGGGUAGGGGACACUCAUAAGCUCCGAAGCGCUCUAGGCCUGUGAGAGGCAUCACGAUGGUGGAGAAAUAGCCACCUUCUUCGAACAGAUUUGGCGCAUCUUUUCGAUGUUACGGGGACCUUGUCCCCCACCUGCUUUUGCCAUUCUCUCUCCUUUGCAUGUAGGAGCGUGCACAGCCUUCUUCCAGGCGUGGACCCAGAAAGGGAACGUUUUGGCCUUGGCUGUGAACAGGACUCCAGGCGCAGAGCCCAAGGGCUCCCCUCUUUCACGAGGCUCCCACAUCAAAAGGAGAUGCUGAGAUAGAGCUGGGAAGGAAGCCGACCUCCCUGGCAAAGAGGAGAAAUGUCGGUAGUUACUUUGUUUCCUUUAAGACACCUGCCGCUGCGCAUCAGGGGCUACCUUCAAUUCCCCGUUUAGUGCCUGGAACUAUUGAGACAACAUGGCGUUGUGGUCGACUACUGGAUUUGGGAGUCCCGCUGUCCUGAGUGCAAAUAUUGACUCCUCCUUAUUAGCUGAGUGUGCCUUUGGACCAAACUUUAAACUUCUCUAAACCUCAAUGUCUUCAUCUGCAAAAUGGGCUUCUUAAAAGUACCUGUUUUUUUAGAGCUUUGUAGGAGUUAAAUGACAUUACGUGGUGAAGGGUUUAGCAUAUAGUGAACAGCUUAAUAAAUGCCGGAUAUGAAUUGCUGUUAUUGGAAAUGGUAAUAAGAAACGUACAUCAUGUUUGUACAGCGUUUUACCGUUUAGGAACUGGUCGUGUUUUCCUUAGCCCAUUUGACAUUCCCAACAACUCUUUGAGGUGGUCAGGGCAGGGAUUAUGACCUCGUUGCACAGGUGAGAAAACCGGAGCCCAGGGAGGGCAGAAGUCUGCUCAAGGUCACACAGCUUGUGAGUGGUAGAGCCAAGCUCAAGUCUCCCUGGAUGAAGGAUGAGCAGUGUCAUUCGCAGGGCCGGGCAGACCACCUGCACGUGCCGUCGGGCUGCUCCUUGGGCACUCUGGUUCUUCCAAAGACCCGUUUAUAGAGAAAUAAUCCAGUGGGUUUACCUAUUUAAACCCUUGUCGUACCUAUUUAUACGCUGAGCCUAUACCAGCUCCGGGGGCGAAGAAACUUGUCCUUGUGCCCUGGUGUCAGACUGACUUUCUUGGCGUCUGUCCCCAAAUGACCUCCGCGGGGGUUUCCAGCUGCCCCCUCGCACCCUGAUCCGUUUACCAGAAUAGCCAUGUGUUCUGAGUUCUGGCCACAGGAUGGCGCUGCUCCCCAAGGCAUGAAAUGUCCAGCCCCUCACCAGGACUGCAUUUCCAGGAGUUACAGGAGGUUGGGACCGCGUCUGUCUUGAUUACCACCAUCUCCAGCAUCGAGCACAGAACAGCACGUAAUGGGAGCUGAAUGAAUGAAUGACUGGAAAGCAUCAGGAUGGUCCUCUAAUGCCUCUGGGAAUCAGGCUGGGGCAUCACCAGGAAGGAGGACUCAAAUGCCUUCGCCAGGGAGCAGUACCUUUCACUGCGUGGCAACAGAGAAGCUUGUGGCAGAGUAAAGAGAGCCAGGCCUCUGCAAUGGGCAGCCUGUGGGACUCUCAGCAAUCACCCGGCCAUGGGUAAUUACCUACCCUCGCUGCACUUCUGUUUCCUCACUUGCCGGACUGGGACCCCCGUCUCCACAAGAGAGGGCUGCAGAGCCCAGAGAGGGGAGGAUCCGACUCUUUGAUCUCUGCUGGAUCUCCGGCACCCGGCACAGUGCCUGGCUGGGUGUAGAUAGUAGUUUUUGAAUGAACAAGUGCAGAGUGUGUCCAGGGAUUAACAUUGUGAAAAUGGGCCUGGUCCAUUGUAGGUGUUUGAUAAAGGGAGACUUCAAAUGCAGGAUUCUUGUAACAAGACCAGAGCUGGAAGAUUUCCUGAAGUGGGGGAAAGAAAAGCGCUCCCUGCCUGGCUGGAAUUGCUGUGUGUAUGAUGCCCUGCAGAGAGAGAGAAGAGAGCAGGCUGGAUGCCUUCCAAAAAUCAGAAGGGAAGCUGAUUCCUACUUGGGAGGGUGUUAAAAUCUUAAGAGCAAGGCCAACAGACCGAGGGGAGAAAGUGAAGGAGAGAGAGAAAUGUGUGAGCAUCUUUUCCAUUUUUUUUUUUUUUCUGUUUUCUUACAGCCAAAUGCCUGGAAACCUGCGGCAUCUGGCAAUUCCCUGGCCGCAGCGCAUAGUAAGCACUCAGGAAAUAGUUGAGCCACUUGGAGCUUUAUGAUGUUUUAGGACUCCUCAAGUGCAUGCGUUUAUGACAGAAUAGUUCCUGUAAGGACAAUUUCGGCGCUCCUACCCGAGGUCUUGGUUAAGUAAUUCAAGUCUGGACCAAGUGAAGCUUUCCUCCACCCCUUCAGCAAUUGCUAGCUUCUUGACGUCCUGGCCAUCAGUUUGGUUAGGUCCUAUUUUGGUACCCCACUCCCCUCGACGUGGUAAUUCACAGUUUACAUUUUGUCUCCCUUCCUUGGCCAGAAGACUCUGGAGGAUAGGGACCAGCUAUGUUUUAUUGUUCUUUAUAGAUUCAGCCCAGAGCUAAGACCAUACCUGCUGGCACAUAAUCAGUACAUGUUUUUUGAACAAAUGAAGGAGGCUUACCAAUGGCCGUGAUUUACUUAAGACUUCCAGAUCUCUCUUUAGCUAGGUCCACACCAAGGGCUACCGGAAACAUUCAAGCAGCAUAGGAUGGAACAGUCUGACAGAUAGACUCUUAACUUGUUACCUCUGGGAACUAAUUUAACUUAGGAGCUGAACGUACCCAGGAAAUGGUGCUGGGCUCUUGCAAUUGACUUUCUUAUAAAUGAUUCAGGGACUGGAAAGGCUGCAUACUGGUGUGUGUGCUCAUGAUUCUAAGCUGGCCCCCAAAUUUAGACUCAUCCUUGACUCGUGUUAUUCUCAUAACCCACAUUCAAUCCACAGCAAAUCUUGUUGGUUUUACCUUAAACACACAGCCCAAAUCCAACCACUUCUCAUCACCCUCCCCAUCCCCCAGUGUAAGCCGCGUCCUCGCUCAUUGGGACUGGUAUAAUGGCCUCCUGACUGGCCUUCCUACUUCCACUCUGGCCCCUGUGGUCUGUUCCCCACCCACCAACCAGAUCACUACCCUCCUCCACUCAAAGCCCUCCAAAGGCUUCCACUGUGCUCAAGGCAAAAGUCAAAGAAAGUCCUUUCAGUCCGGCCCCUGCUGCCUCCCUAGCCUCCCCUAACUCCAGGAACUCUGGCCUGUUUGCACUUCCUCAAAUGCACAGAGAACAUUCCUGUUUCUCCUGCCACACGAGGCUCUGCCCCAGAUAUGUGGCUCUUCUCCUCACUUCCUUGAUGUUCUUCCCACUGAGGCCUCCCUUCUCCGGCCUCCCCUAAUCAGAUUGCUCCUCCCCUGGCUGCCCGUCCCCGGCCUUCUUCCCUAUUGAAUUCUCCAGAGCACUUACCUCCAUCUGACCUAUAUUCUGCUUUUUUGUUUGUUUCUUGUCUAUCUCCUGUAGCAUGAGGGCGCGUCACGAGGGGGAGGACGUUCAUUUGCUCUGCCCACCACUGCAGCCCAGCGCGGGGCACAGCGCCUGGCACAGAGAAGUGCCGGACAGCGACUGUGGAUAACGGGGGCCGCACCAUGUGGCACGAACCUCGUGGCGAGAUGACCGUGGAGCCGAGGCUUCUGGUUCCAGAAUAUCAAGCUGGCGCAGAGAUCUCUGGGACCCUAAUGAAGCAGGCAGAUGGUGAAAUCCUGGUAUGGUUCUGGUGCCCGGGGGCACAAAGCAAUUCUCAAAUUCUUGUCCUCUUCCAACUGCUCUCAGUGCCCACGGCCCUACAGAGAUUCAGUGAGACCAGGGACUGGCAUGGACUUUGUGCCUGCGGGGAAUGAGCCCAUAGACUUGUCAUUUCUAGGGGGCCGUCCAGAUGUCCCGCUUGGGCUGUCAUAUCACAUUCAUACCCAGGGCCUACCAUGUGCCAGACCCUGCCCGGGUACUGGGUACCCGGCCAGUGGCCAAAGCAGGAAUGUUCUGCCCUCAUGGAGCUUCCCGAUCCACGGCGGACGUUGACAGUGAACAAAGCAGAGCUGAUAAUCACAGCUGGGAUAGUGCCACAGAGGAAGUGGUCAAGCGCGUGGCUUUGCCAGAGAGGAGCUCCUGUCUGGAAGAAGAAAUACCACCCUGCCCGUGCUUUCGUUCCAGCCCAUUCUCACUCUCUGUCUGGGAAAAUCACAAGGAAACUCCACGUUUUGCUCCUGGAAUUCUUGCCAGCGUGAUUCAAGCCGAACGGAGCACAUGGCACCGAAUUCCCACACAAACAAAGACGUUGCCACUUUCAGCGCGGUGGCUUCCUUCCUUCUGCCGGCCCGGGCCCCCCAUCUUGCCCGGGCAAGAGGGGCAGAGUGCAUGCGGCCCGGUUCUCACCUACAAGGCCCCCCAUGUGUUCUCAUCUGGAAAAUGGAGAUGGUCACAGCACAAGAUGAUUAGAGGAUUAAGGGAGAUACAGUGAAAGUGCCGUGCAGCGCUCGGUAGACAGUGGGCGCUCAAUAGCUGCUGGCCACGAUGCUGAUGCCCUGUGUCGGUGUUAGCACAUGUUCUCGGAGCUCAGGCCUUCGCGGGGCCUUGCGUUCCUCGGCUAUAAGCCCCGUGACCGUGAGAUCAAUCGCUUUCGUGCUCGGCGCUCCCAGGCACUGCGUGUGAGAGCAGGAUUGAGUGGAGGCUCCCGUCCAAAUCCAGUGUCGAGAAAUGGAACAGGGAGCUGGGUGGACACAUCGAUUAGGCCCAUUCCUGGCUCGAGUGUGGCUCUCUCCAGUCCCCUCCCUGCAGGCUGGUGAGCAAAAUUCAGAUGCUGACCUCCUGAGAACACCCCUUAGGCUGAAACCUAUCGCCCCCUUUGUCAGAGAUUAUGUGAUCUCCAGGGAAGAAGAGGUGUGGCAUCUCACCUCUGCCACUUCUGAACUGAGUGACUUGGGACAGAGGACUCUCCCGUGCCUAAGAUGCCCUCGUCUACGAAUGGGGUUGAUAACUGCCCUCCAUGAAGGAUGUCGGGUGGGGGGGCUCGGCACCGACUCGAGUGUCAGGGGCUUGGCCGGGGUCUGUGCUUAAGAGCAGCUGCCCCUUCACCAGUGAUGCUGCUGUCCCCAAAUCUCUAAAUUUUAACUAGGGUCCCCCUUGUGAAGGCCUGGGUUAUCCCCACUGGAAACCUGUUUUGGGAACUAGCCCCCCUGCAUGUCACCGAGGGAAAUGGGCGUCAAAACUGAUGGCCCCCUAGGUGGGGGGGAGACCUGGCCCAGAACUUGUCACAGGAUGAGCACCUCUGGGAUGAGAGGCCAAGUGGCCUAAUGGGCCGGGGACUCAGACUGGCUGGAUUUGAGCAGUGUUUCCACGCUCACUCCCAGUGGGGCCUUGACAAGUUCCUUAACUGUUCUGAGCUUCGGUUUCUUCACCUGAAAAAUGGGUGUGAUGAUAUCCCUCUUUGUGAGACCAGAGAAUUAAUGGCAGCUUAUUAAUUAUAGUCUAAGGCACUAUUCUAAGCCACCCUGUGAGGUCAUCACAUCUAUAAAUAUCUUCACCUGACAGUUGGAGAAACUGAGGCACAGAGCGGUCACUAACUUGCUCAGGGCCGCUCGUUCAUCCCAUUUCCUGGUGCGGUCCCUGCUCCUUCCUCUACUCUCCUCACAUUUCCCCAAACUCGCCGGGCGAACCCACGCCUCUUGGCCUCUGUGUUCCUUCUGCCUGCAGUGACUGUUUCCCCACCUCUGCCUGACUCAAUCUGGUGUGUCCUUCAAGGCCCAGCUCAAGUGUCUCCUCCUCCAGGAAGCCCUCCUGCCAGGGCACUAGAGAGCAAAGCCCUGUAAUAUUAAUAAAUGGCGGCGAGAAGGGAAAAGUGACUGCUUCCUUUUGACAUGGCGAAGAUCACAGGGCCUGGAGGACCUUUAAUCUUUAUUAAUGUGUCUCAGGGGGGCCUCUCCCACAAGCUGUGGGAAGCAGACAUGCAACGAGUUUGCUUGCUCGCGGUCCUCAGCAUCCCUGGGCGCCUCAGAUGACUGCCUGAUACUGUUCAGAGUGCAGCAAAGCCACAUCACGGGGACCCGCUGUGUCCCAGGCAAGAACAAGGCAGCCCUAACCCAGCUCCCAUCUGUGGGGGGCUGGAUGACAAGGGAAAUUCAGGACACGGGCCUCAGUCACAUGGGCCCGCUUCUAACCAAGGGCACCGAUGCCCUGAAGAGGCUCAGAAGGAACCAGGCUGUCAGUUGCAGGGACGAGCACAAAUCAUGCCUAGGAGGGGCCACACCUGAGUCCAUUAAGGAGCACGUCCAAUAACCAACACCCUCAUUUCCAAGGGCUCUCCUCCGCACUGCCUGGCCAACCGCUUCUUUCCCGCCUCUCCUUCCCUCUGGCUGGGCUGUGCACCAGGGGGCCAAAAAGGUCUGUAACUUGACACGGUGCAGACCUAAUUCCACAGACCUAGUGAGUCAGGAAUUGCAAGGCGGGUUCGGAGCGCACAACAGAAUUGAAAAGUGUUAUAGUAAGGAUAGAAGAGCCAAGAAAGUUGCAGGGUCUCUCUGUCUCUCUCUCUCUCCUCUCUCUCUCUCUAUCUCUCUCUCUCUCUCUCACACACACACACACACACACUCACGUGCGCGCAUGCUGAGAAACCGAGAGGCAUAUUUUGACAUUCAUUCAUUCAAAAAUUCCGAAAACCACUCGGUGCUAAGCACUGUUCUGGGCACUGGGGAUCCAGUGAUGGGAAGGACCGCCAAAGUUCCUGUUCCCCCAGAGCUUAUGUUCAUCCCAGUGUUCUUGGGCGAGUUUCUCCAGUGGCCAGGAUGGUGCAGGUUAAUCUCAAAAGCCACGUUACAAGACAGAGGGGGCGGGCACCAUUUGUACCCUCACUUUCCGGACACGGGAUCUAAGCUCAGGUCAGAGGUCAGCCUGUCUGAGGCCACCCGCUAGGGUGGGGGACCAGGAUGGGAGCUUGGUUUCCAGGCCUUUUCUCUUUCUACUCACUGCUCAGAGGCCACGAGGAAGCCCGAGCUGAGAGGCCAGUGCUAUCUGGGAGGAAGAACCCGGUGAAGUGUGCUCAAAUAAAGCAUCACCUAAUUCGA